ensembl:snoRNA
GCAUGGUAUUGGAUUUAUGGUGGGUCCAUCUGUGUGGGCCUUUCAUCGUGUACCCAAGAAAGAGCAAAAUACAGAUCGAACCACUGCCCAGUCCCCGCUGUGGUCUGCGAGCACAGUUUGGGAAAAAAA